rnacentral:lncRNA from 1 species
GACAAAAUUUUCAGAUUAUUUCUAAUUGUUUGGUCUUUAUUUCGUACUUCGUUACAAGCAAAUGAAUGGAUAGAUUUUUCGCCAAUGGAUAAAAUGUGUAAUGUUGACCACUGGAGAAAAUAAAAGAACAUGUUCUGAUUGGAAUGACCAAGUUGAGUUGUUAAGAGAGUGAACAGAGCAUAAAUCCAAAGUUUCCAAAAUAUAUAUCAAUAUUUUAUAUUUCUUCUUUUUAAAUCUCUUUUUAUAAGUUAAAUUGGCUCAUUUAGCAAAUGGAAAUGGAAAUUUUUUUAAAAGGACAAAAAUCUCUUCUGUUUCUGUAAGGAGCUUAAAGAAGGAAGCAUCUGCAAGGAAGUUCUGAAGCAUCGUUAUUAUAAAUAGGGUUACCUUUAGUAUUAUUCCAGCUCCAGGCUUACACCUUUAGAAACAAUUAAUCACAUUGCAUCCUUUCUUCUCCCUUUGCCAGAACCAGCCAGAGAUAAGCUUCCAGUUGCUAAAGUUGUGUGAGAAAAAUAGCAUUGCCCUAUCACCUCGAUAUGACUUCAGCUCUGCUGAUGUUGAAAGAAACAUAAGCAGAUAGAAGGUCCAUAAUUACACUAGGCAACAUUCCUCUUCUCCAGACAACCAUUCUCUGGGAUCUGGUCAGUUAUAUUAAAACUGAGGGAACACAUAGUGCUGACAUGGCAAAGACAUUUAUUUCAAUGGAGAAGUUCCUCCCAUUAAACCAAGAUAUUAUCCUUAUGAUAAAGUGGAGACAAGAAAGCCAGGCAUAUAAUUAAAGCCUGUGACAUGCCAUGAGGAUCUGUUCCUGAAACUAAUACUAACAUCCAACUUUUAACAACAUCCAGUGUAACUCCUUCUACUUUUCUCUUCCUGUAUAUCUUUAAAUUAGCGUGUACUUUUCUAAAGUCACACACUUAAGUGUGUGACUGCCUCUUCAAUUUAUGGGGAAUGCUUAUUAUUAAAGAUGAUAACCUUUUAUUCUUGAACUAAGAAGACCAAACUUUUAAGAGAAAUCCCUGAUUGUCAAUAAAUUGAUGCUGCAUAGGAAUAUGGCUCACCUUCCCUUUAUUUUACUAGCUACCUUCUUGGACGAGAAUCUGUUUUCUCCCCAGUGUCAGAAUCUGCUAUAAACACUCUUAACCAUCCCCAAGCUGAAUUUUUCCUUCUGUUUCAAGUCUAAACUGCAAAAUCAUGAAAGAAGGCUGUGAUAAGCUUCUAAAACAAACAAUAUAA